rnacentral:lncRNA from 1 species
CCUCUAGCAUAAUAACCAGAUUGCAACUAACUACCAUGUUAAAGACAUAACAUUGCAAGCAUCUCUAACAGCCUAGCAAAUGGCAGAUUUCGUUUCAAUUCAAUUACACCAUAACAAACAUUGCUUUAAUAUUCACCAUAGCAUAAUUCAUGUUCAAAACUGACCGUCAACAUUGCAUAAAAGCUAACUGCAUCAAUUUCUAACAACAUAAUUCCAUUAACAGCAUAACAUAAAUUCUACCCAAAUCAUAACAAACGGAUUCCCAAAAAACACUUCAGCUAAAUCUAACUCUAACUCUUUAACAUUGCUAACAAUUUACUAACAUCAACUUAACUUGUUGCUAACAAGAGUUCAAAACAAUCAAUUGUUGCAGUGUGAAUAAAAUGAGGCAAAAGGAAAACAACGAACAAGCAGGUUUCGGUUUAACUCAAUAACCUGUUAAUCAAGCCAAACCAAUUAACAUUUCUAGCUUCACUAACAAAUCCAAUCUAACUAAGCAACUCAGCAGACCAUCACCCUGCAACCUGCAUCAAUAAGUCAUCCUGCAGUGUGUCAAAACAACUCAAAAACUUACAACUCAAAAUCAUACCAGUUCAGCAGGUCAACAUCAAAUCCAAUAUCACAUUUCCAUUUAACUUCAAAGAAAAGCAACCUGCAAUAUUCAGUCAAUACCCAAUUCACUAACUAACAUCAAAUGAAUCCCUAAUCUAACUAACAGAAAACCAAAUAACUAACAUUUUCAGUUAACACAUAAAUAACUGUAACAGAUCAAUCCUAACUAACUAUUUUGCAUGACUCACAGAGUUAACAAACUAUAACUGAUUUGCUCAUCAGAAAACUAAUAGAGUCAAGCUCUAUUAAAAGCUGAAACUCUAUAAAUUCACUUGACCACCACCAAUUUCAGGGACCCCCAAUCAUUCCCCACAAUUCACAAGACUCAAUCUUCAUCUUCCUCACUGAAAUCUUCUCCCUCACCCCAAAGCUUUCUUUCUCCAUUGUUUCUCAGAGCUUCACAUUGAAGCUCUGAAACAACAAGACCUGAACCUCUCAAUUUCUGAAUCUCUAUCCCACAAUUCAAUCUCUAUUCUCCUCAUACAAUCAACGAUUACGCAAUUUCAAGAACAACACACAACAUCAACAAUCACAACAAAGAGUAUAAAACGAAGAAGAAGAAGAAGAAGAAGAAGAAGAGAUCACAGUGAUAUAGAAGUGAAGAUUGGAGAAUUUACCUGGUAGAGCCUCUGGUAUUUUCUGUAUUUGUUUGCUUCGAACUCGAGACUCAUCAAACCUGCGGUGUCCGAGGUUAAUUACUCAUCAAACCUUUCCACAUCCCCUUUCUGGAACAAUUAACAACCUUGGGCUUCCUCUUGAGCCCAUUAAUAGUUCAGCUGCUAUCCACACCUUGCUAGAUGAUACACCCCAAGGCCCAUGUUUUUUUCCUUUUAUAUUUCUCUUUGUUAUUUUUCUUGGUAUUUUUGGUAGUUUUUUUUAUUAUUAAUUAUUUCUUCUCUUUACUUUUUUACCAUGAAAGUUAGAAUGAAAUGCAUGUGAUUAUUGGUUAAUAUUCACUUAGAAAUUGAUGUGAUUAGGGUGAUAAAUGGUUUCUUAAUGAUUUUGAAUCGUUUUGAUUAGAUUGAAUAAAAAUACAUUUGCAUGAUAAUGCAAUUUGGUCCAUAAUAUGAUUUGGCCACUUUGGAUAGAUAUCCAUGAUUACAUGCUUUCUUAGAUAAUUUUAGCCACGUUUGGUAUAUGUUCAUGAAUUUUUUUUUUGCCUUAGGAUUUUAGAUCCCUAAUCCUAGUUCAUUGUAUAUAAUUUUCAAUUAAAUUCAUUCCUUUUGAUUAAGUUGAUCGAAAGAUAUUUUUGAUCAACUAAAUCCUUUGAUUGUGUAUGAUUCCCAAUCUUAUUCAAGUGGUCAAAAAACCCUUAAUCACUUGAUAAAGCAAGUCCCCUGUAUUCAAGAUGCACUCGACCUCGGGAGCCGAAGAUAUCAGGAUUAAGAUUCAA